rnacentral:rRNA from 1 species
CGGUUAAGUUAGAAAGGGCGCACGGUGGAUGCCUUGGCACUAGGAGCCGAUGAAGGACGGGACGAACACCGAUAUGCUUCGGGGAGCUGUAAGCAAGCUUUGAUCCGGAGAUUUCCGAAUGGGGAAACCCACCACUCGUAAUGGAGUGGUAUCCAUAUCUGAAUACAUAGGAUAUGAGAAGGCAGACCCGGGGAACUGAAACAUCUAAGUACCCGGAGGAAGAGAAAGCAAAUGCGAUUCCCUGAGUAGCGGCGAGCGAAACGGGACCAGCCCAAACCAAGAGGCUUGCCUCUUGGGGUUGUAGGACACUCUGUACGGAGUUACAAAGGAACGAGGUAGAUGAAGAGGUCUGGAAAGGCCCGCCAUAGAAGGUAACAGCCCUGUAGUCAAAACUUCGUUCUCUCCUGAGUGGAUCCUGAGUACGGCGGAACACGUGAAAUUCCGUCGGAAUCCGGGAGGACCAUCUCCCAAGGCUAAAUACUCCCUAGUGACCGAUAGUGAACCAGUACCGUGAGGGAAAGGUGAAAAGCACCCCGGAAGGGGAGUGAAAGAGAACCUGAAACCGUGUGCCUACAAAUAGUCAGAGCCCGUUAAUGGGUGAUGGCGUGCCUUUUGUAGAAUGAACCGGCGAGUUACGAUCCCGUGCAAGGUUAAGCAGAAGAUGCGGAGCCGCAGCGAAAGCGAGUCUGAAUAGGGCGAAUUGAGUACGUGGUCGUAGACCCGAAACCAGGUGAUCUACCCAUGUCCAGGGUGAAGUUCAGGUAACACUGAAUGGAGGCCCGAACCCACGCACGUUGAAAAGUGCGGGGAUGAGGUGUGGGUAGGGGUGAAAUGCCAAUCGAACCUGGAGAUAGCUGGUUCUCUCCGAAAUAGCUUUAGGGCUAGCCUCAAGGUAAGAGUCUCGGAGGUAGAGCACUGAUUGGACUAGGGGCCCCUACCGGGUUACCGAAUUCAGUCAAACUCCGAAUGCCGAUGACUUAUCCUUGGGAGUCAGACUGCGAGUGAUAAGAUCCGUAGUCGAAAGGGAAACAGCCCAGACCGCCAGCUAAGGUCCCAAAGUAUACGUUAAGUGGAAAAGGAUGUGGAGUUGCUUAGACAACCAGGAUGUUGGCUUAGAAGCAGCCACCAUUUAAAGAGUGCGUAAUAGCUCACUGGUCGAGUGACUCUGCGCCGAAAAUGUACCGGGGCUAAACGUAUCACCGAAGCUGCGGACUGUUCUUCGAACAGUGGUAGGAGAGCGUUCUAAGGGCUGUGAAGCAAGACCGGAAGGACUUGUGGAGCGCUUAGAAGUGAGAAUGCCGGUAUGAGUAGCGAAAGAGGGGUGAGAAUCCCCUCCACCGAAUGCCUAAGGUUUCCUGAGGAAGGCUCGUCCGCUCAGGGUUAGUCGGGACCUAAGCCGAGGCCGAAAGGCGUAGGCGAUGGAUAACAGGUUGAUAUUCCUGUACCACCUCCUCACCAUUUGAGCAAUGGGGGGACACAGGAGGAUAGGGU